CCAUGCGCACCCCACAGCUCGCGCUCCUGCAAGUGUUCUUUCUGGUGUUCCCCGAUGGCGUCCGGCCUCAGCCCUCUUCCUCCCCAUCGGGGGCAGUGCCCACGUCUUUGGAGCUGCAGCGAGGGACGGAUGGCGGAACCCUCCAGUCCCCUUCAGAGGCGACUGCAACUCGCCCGGCCGUGCCUGGACUCUCUACAGUGGUCCCUACUCUCGUGACUCCCUCGGCCCCUGGGAAUAGGACUGUGGACCUCUUCCCAGUCUUACCGAUCUGUGUCUGUGACUUGACUCCUGGAGCCUGCGAUAUAAAUUGCUGCUGCGACAGGGACUGCUAUCUUCUCCAUCCGAGGACAGUUUUCUCCUUCUGCCUUCCAGGCAGCGUAAGGUCUUCAAGCUGGGUUUGUGUAGACAACUCUGUUAUCUUCAGGAGUAAUUCCCCGUUUCCUUCAAGAGUUUUCAUGGAUUCUAAUGGAAUCAGGCAGUUUUGUGUCCAUGUGAACAACUGUGAGUAGAAACAUGUUGGUUGUUCUCAUUUUCUAACACAGGAGUGUUAUAUUUUG
rnacentral:sRNA from 1 species